rnacentral:rRNA from 1 species
UACGUAGGGGGCUAGCGUUGUCCGGAAUCAUUGGGCGUAAAGCGCGUGUAGGCGGCCCGGUAAGUCCGCUGUGAAAGUCCAGGGCUCAACCCUGGGAUGCCGGUGGAUACUGUCGGGCUCGAGUCCGGAAGAGGCGAGUGGAAUUCCUGGUGUAGCGGUGAAAUGCGCAGAUAUCAGGAGGAACACUGGUGGCGAAGGCGGAUCUCUGGGCCGAUACUGACGCUGAGGAGCGAAAGCGUGGGGAGCGAACAGG